UGUUACAGCAAGAAUCAAAAAAAUUGGUCAGCCUGGCUGUAGUGGCUCAGUGAAUUGAGUGUCAUCCCAUGGACCAAGAGGUCCUGGGUUCAAUUCCCAGUCAGGGCACAUGCCUGGGUUGUGGGCUUGAUCCCCAGUGGGGGCAUGAU